GACGAACGCUGGCGGCGUGCUUAACACAUGCCAGUCGAACGGAAAGGCCCUGCUUUUGUGGGGUGCUCGAGUGGCGAACGGGUGAGUAACACGUGAGUAACCUGCCCUUGACUUUGGGAUAACUUCAGGAAACUGGGGCUAAUACCGGAUAGGAGCUCCUGCUGCAUGGUGGGGGUUGGAAAGUUUCGGCGGUUGGGGAUGGACUCGCGGCUUAUCAGCUUGUUGGUGGGGUAGUGGCUUACCAAGGCUUUGACGGGUAGCCGGCCUGAGAGGGUGACCGGCCACAUUGGGACUGAGAUACGGCCCAGACUCCUACGGGGGGCAGCAGUGGGGAAUAUUGCACAAGGGGCGGAAGCCUGAUGCAGCAACGCCGCGUGCGGGAUGACGGCCUUCGGGUGGGAAACCGCUUUCGCCUGUGACGAAGCGUGAGUGACGGUAAUGGGUAAAGAAGCACCGGCUAACUACGU
rnacentral:rRNA from 1 species